rnacentral:rRNA from 1 species
AACGAACGCUGGCGGCAGGCCUAACACAUGCAAGUCGAGCGAGGACUUCGGUCCUAGCGGCGGACGGGUGAGUAACGCGUGGGAACGUGCCCUUUGCUUCGGAAUAGCCCUGGGACACUGGGAGUAAUACCGGAUGAGCCCUUUUGGGGCAAGAUUUAUCGUCGAAGGAUCGGCCCACGUUGGAUUAGGUAGUUGGUGGGGUAUUGGCCUACCAAGGCGGCGAUCCAUAGCUGGUUUGAGAGGAUGAUCAGCCACACUGGGACUGAGACAGGGCCCAGACACCUGCGGGGAGACGCAGUCGGGAAUACUACGCGAGGGAGGAGAGCGUGAUCCAAGAAAACCGCGGGAGUGCUGAAGGAGCCAGGGUGGGAGAGCGAUGAUGUUGGGAGAGAAGAGCAGCAGGUUAAGAUGGGAAGAUAAUGACGGUACCAGCAGAAGAAGCCCCGGCUAACUUCGUG